rnacentral:rRNA from 1 species
GGACGAACGCUGGCGGUAUGCUUAACACAUGCAAGUCGAACGAGAAGGAAGAGCUUGCUCUUCCUGAAAGUGGCGAACGGGUGAGUAACGCGUGGGUAACCUACCCUUUGGAAAGGAAUAGCCUCGGGAAACUGGGAGUAAUGCCUUAUAAGAUACGUUUGUCGCAUGGCAUUUGUAUUAAACGCUCCGGCGCCAUAGGAUGGACCCGCGUCCCAUUAGCUAGUUGGUGAGAUAACAGCUCACCAAGGCCACGAUGGGUAACCGGUCUGAGAGGGCGAACGGUCACACUGGAACUGAGACACGGUCCAGACUCCUACGGGAGGCAGCAGUGGGGAAUAUUGCGCAAUGGGGGCAACCCUGACGCAGCAAUACCGCGUGAGUGAAGAAGGUUUUCGGAUCGUAGAGCUCUGUUAUUGGGGAAGAAAAAAAGACGGUACCCAAGAAGAAAGUUCCGGCUAACUACGUGCCAGCAGCCGCGGUAAUACGUAGGGAACAAGCGUUGUCCGGAUUUACUGGGCGUAAAGGGCACGCAGGCGGUUUUUUAAGUCAGAUGUGAAAGGCCACAGCUCAACUGUGGACAUGCAUUUGAAACUGAAAGACUUGAGUAUUGGAGAGGCAAGUGGAAUUCCUAGUGUAGCGGUGAAAUGCGUAGAUAUUAGGAGGAACACCGGUGGCGAAGGCGGCUUGCUGGACAAAUACUGACGCUGAGGACGAACGCUGGCGGUAUGCUUAACACAUGCAAGUCGAACGAGAAGGAAGAGCUUGCUCUUCCUGAAAGUGGCGAACGGGUGAGUAACGCGUGGGUAACCUACCCUUUGGAAAGGAAUAGCCUCGGGAAACUGGGAGUAAUGCCUUAUAAGAUACGUUUGUCGCAUGGCAUUUGUAUUAAACGCUCCGGCGCCAUAGGAUGGACCCGCGUCCCAUUAGCUAGUUGGUGAGAUAACAGCUCACCAAGGCCACGAUGGGUAACCGGUCUGAGAGGGCGAACGGUCACACUGGAACUGAGACACGGUCCAGACUCCUACGGGAGGCAGCAGUGGGGAAUAUUGCGCAAUGGGGGCAACCCUGACGCAGCAAUACCGCGUGAGUGAAGAAGGUUUUCGGAUCGUAGAGCUCUGUUAUUGGGGAAGAAAAAAAGACGGUACCCAAGAAGAAAGUUCCGGCUAACUACGUGCCAGCAGCCGCGGUAAUACGUAGGGAACAAGCGUUGUCCGGAUUUACUGGGCGUAAAGGGCACGCAGGCGGUUUUUUAAGUCAGAUGUGAAAGGCCACAGCUCAACUGUGGACAUGCAUUUGAAACUGAAAGACUUGAGUAUUGGAGAGGCAAGUGGAAUUCCUAGUGUAGCGGUGAAAUGCGUAGAUAUUAGGAGGAACACCGGUGGCGAAGGCGGCUUGCUGGACAAAUACUGACGCUGA